rnacentral:rRNA from 1 species
CCCUUAGAUGUUCUGGGCCGCACGCGUGCUACACUGAGUGGAUCAGCGGGUCAGGUUGCGCGAAAGCGUUUCCUAAUCUUUAAAUCCGCUCGUGAUGGGGAUUGACGGUUGCAAUUUUCUGUCAUGAACGAGGAAUACCUUGUAAGCGCGGGUCAUCAUCCCGCGCUGAAUACGUCCCUGCCCUUUGUACACACCGCCCGUCGCUCCUACCGAUUGGAUGGUCCGGUGAAGCCUCGGGAUUGUGGUUCUUGACGCUUUAUUGUGGCGUGACCGCGAGAACUUGUCUAAACCUUAUCAUCUAGAGGAAGGUGAAGUCGUAACA